UACAGAGACUGCAAGCGUUAUUCGGAUUCACUGGGCGUAAAGGGUGCGCAGGUGGCCGGGUGUGUCAGAUGUGAAAUCCCGAGGCUUAACCUCGGAACUGCGUCUGAAACUACUCGGCUAGAGUACUGGAGAGGGUAACGGAAUUCACGGUGUAGCAGUGAAAUGCGUAGAUAUCGUGAGGAACACCAGAGGCGAAGGCGGUUACCUGGACAGUUUACUGACACUCAGGCACGAAAGCAUGGGGAGCAAAAAGGG
rnacentral:rRNA from 1 species